UGGUGGAAAAAAAAAAACUAAACUUGCGAAAAAAAACUGUAAAACCUAAAACUUACUUUUGCCGUCUCUUUUCUCCGUCCCUAAUCCUAUUUUCUUCACCUCUUAGUUCAUCGCAUGCAUGUGUUUUGAUCUAAGGGAGAGUUUUGUACGUUUUUAUUUUUCAUGGGAGAUUUUUGCUAUUCGUAAAUCAUUACCUUUCUUUUCUGUCUCUUUGUUUCUCUGUAUCAAUAAACCCUAACCCUUCCGCCUCCAGUUUACCCACCCCUUCUCUGAUUGUUUGACUAGAUAUUUUUCUGAACCGUGUUCGUUUUUUUAUGUUGCGGGCAUCUUCAUCCUGGGUCAUUGAGAAAAAUUCCCCCUCUUGGUCGGAUAUAGUAUGACCCAAUUUUCUUUUUUAGGUUAUUAUACAUUUUUAAAUCCGAUUAGGGUUUACCCUAAGCCUGAUAUUGAUUGAUCCAAAUUGCAGUAUCAUGCAAAAGGAUUUUAAGGGUUUCUUUUUUUAUUUUUAAAGUUUUCUAUUUUGAUACUAGAAAACUGUUUGAUUAAUUUGGAUGUAAUUUUCAGAUUCAGUACUGGUGAUAACAACUCGCAGAGCUGGGAAAUGGAAGAAAGGUAAAAUUCCUAAUUCUUCAUUAAUCUACUUCUUUUGUCAGGUUGAUUUUAAGGGUACUGCAGAUCCACAAAAAAUAUCAGAUGUUUUAUGGAUUUGAACUUCAAAAUGUUUUUCUAAUGGUGUUGUUGAUAAGAAGGAGAAAAAGGAAAAAGAUUGUAUCUUUUGUACCAUUAUUCGUGCAAAAUCCCAAGCAAGGUGAUUGGAUCAUUUUUUUUCUUUAUUUAAGCAUGUAUAUAUGCUUAUUAAAAUCCCAUGAACUCCAGAAACCAUGUAUGCUUAUUAAAAUUUAUUUCACACUCUCUUGCACGGUGUGUAUAUAUAUAUAUGAAGUAGAGGUUGCAGAAACCAUGUAUGCUUAUUAGAAUACCGGAGUGACAUAUUAAGUUCUUACAAAUGCAUGUUUUUAUUUUUCAACGAGCAUAUAAAGAGUUCUCUGUUUCCGUAGUUACGUUUGUAUUUGGAAACAAAAUCUACAAAUUUAGGCUAUUGAUUCAAGUGUUUAUCUAUUAUAGAGUAAUUUUAAAGAGAAUGCGAAAGGAACAUAAAGGUUUUGCACUGUCGCAAUAUGCAAGAAAAUUAUCAGGAACGGUUAGGUGAUUGCAAUCCCGUUAUUAUUUUUUAUUUUUUAUGACUAAGUAACAAUAUGGCCACUGUUACUUAGUCAUCUUUAAGGAUCUCAUCAAAAAACAAUUGGAAGCUAAUGCAUCCUUGAAAGCCGAAGUGCUAGCUCUUCUGAGGUGGGAAUAGAUCAUGCAUACCUUUUCCUUUAAUGUACUAGGACUUGGCUCAAUGAUACUGCCACUGAAAUGGACUAUGCAAAGUACAUUGCAUAUGAAUGUGAAAUGUAUGUCCACAGUGCAAAAAUUUCCACUACUAACCAACACUAAACUCGCUCUAUAUGUGAACUGAUACUCACUUUUGUUAUUACUCUUUUUGUUUUUGUUUGAUUGUUAAAAUUUAACAUUCUAAUGUGAUUUUGUGUUAAAUGACUAUAGCGGUACCGCCACUGCAAAAAUUAAGUAUAACUGCUACUGGAUGCAACUUAUGAUGCAGCCACUGCAAAAGUUAAGUAUAACUGCUACUGGAUGCAACUUAUGAAUGCUGGCAGUAGCUACAAGCCAGCCUAGCUCUACCAUCCGCCAAUUUUAAUGGCACAAAUUCAAUUUUCUGAAAGCCAUCGAGAAGUCAUGCUUUGGUCACUGUCAGAAUGACACAGGAAAUGUAGUUUUCUGACAAUGCUCAUGUCAUCCAAAACAAGGUAAGUUUACUCAUCAUAGUAACGAAAAUUUAUAGUACGUUGAAUUCUACUGAUACACUUCUCAUAUAACCAAUGUGGAUCUCAUACGUUCCCUUUUCUACUGUUUAACCUUGCAUAUUUGUUGCUAUAUCCACGGUAUUGCUCUAUUUAACCCAUGUAAUCCAUACGAGACUCCAACAGCCUCCAAUUCGGUGCUCAAAAUCCAUCAGCUGAUGUCGUACCAGGAACUCUAAGAGCGGUAGAUGAAUAAAAUAAAAAUUAAAGGCAGGUAAUUUCUGAAACCACCCUACUGCUCUAUGUAUCGUGUACAUCUCUAACAUAGUAAUUUGAUAAUAUCUGACAAACAAGUAUGGAAUGAGGUCAUUCCGAGUUCGAAUGAAGAAGUUAUGGCCAAAAUAGUUUUAUCAAAUGCCGAAGAAAGUGAAGUCCGCGAACUGGGCUUGCGGACUGGGUUAGCAGACCUAAUUCCAAAAAAAAUUGCUGGAUUUUGAAGUUUGCGGACUGGGUUCGCGAACUUAGAAAAUGGGAAACGUGUAUUUAAUCCUUGGAAGACCUAAGGGCACGUUUGGGAUCAUUAUUUCAUGUU